AAUGUGGUUAAUGAUGCUCAACUUUUUUCCCCAUCUGAUCGACUCUGGUGAAACCAGUCUAAAAAUUUUGUUCCUCGGCUGUAACGUU
rnacentral:snoRNA from 1 species